UGGACACCUUAGAAGAAGAGAGCUUUGUGCUGUCUUUCUCCUCCACCUCUGAUGAAUUUGCUGUUGUGGUUGGAUAUUUAGAGAACGUUAUCAUGGAUAACGAGUUCCAGUUAUUACAGAGAAAUUACAUGGACAAGUACUACCUGGAGUUUGAAGACACGGAAGAGAAUAAACUCACCUACACACCUAUUUUUAAUGAAUACAUUUCUGGUAGAAAAAUAUAUUGAAGAACAGCUGCUGGAGCGGAUUUCUGGAUUCAACAUGGCAGCUUUCACCACCACAUUACAGCACCAUAAAAAUGAAGCAGCUGGUGACAUAUUCGACAUGCUGCUACGUUCACGGUUUUGGACUACAGAGCAGAAAAAGAAGGCCGAGGACUAGACUUAAGCAGUGGCUUAGUGGUGACUUCGUUGUGUCAAUCAUCUUCUGUGCCAGCUUCCCAGAACAAUCUGCGGC
rnacentral:lncRNA from 1 species